AGCAUAGUUUAUCCUUGAAGAUAAAGGGCAGUUUUGCUUCUUCAGGUAGAAUGUAUUCCCAUUGUUUUCAGGCUUUGCAGUGGAAUUACAUUACUGAGCAUGAAGACUUCCCUUGUGAAGCUGCCCCAUCGAUUUUUUCUGCCUCCAAAAUUAUCCUCUUAAAAACAUCAACGGCGGUCUGAUUUUCUUUAGCAGAAGAUUCCAAGAAAGCUGCAUUCCAGGAUUCUGCUAAAGCUUUCCCUUCUUCAUAGCUGAUCACCCGUUCCAUAUGCAGGUCUUUUUUAUUUCCAACCAGCAUAAUGGGUAUUUGGACUUUUCCCACCAUAUCCAAUAACUUGCCAUGGAUAACUUUUAUCACUUCAAAACUUUUUAUUGACGUGACUGAAUAAACAAGAAUGUAGCCAUUGAUGUCUAUGGAGUAUGUCUGAGGAAAUAUGGAGUAUUCAUCCUGGCCAGCAGUGUCAACCAGCUGAAGGUGAUAUUCUUGGCCAUUUACUGUGAUCAGUUUUGUAAAAGUGUUCUCUAUGGUUGGAUCAUAGGAAUCAACAAACUGUCCUUCCACAAACUGAAUCGUCAGUGAAGAUUUUCCUACGCUCCGGUAGCCCAGGAUCGCGAUCUUGCGGGACUUGGACGGCGGCAUCUUGUCCCCCCCCCGGCCCCGAACCACAUCAAGGGCGGCGGCGGCGGAUGAGGAGGAGGAGGCGGCGGGCGGCGGGCGGCUGUGGGAGCGCCGUCAGCCUCAUGCGGCGCGGGGGAAGGGCGGCGGCGGCGACGGGCCGAGCGCGCGGGACCCGCGGCGCCUGGCGGCGGCGGCAACAGCGGCAACAGCGCCCGCCCCACGUGACCGCCGGGCUCGCCAGCCCCUCACGUACCUGUGCGUCACGCGUCACAGGCCGGAGCGGCGACCUCGCCGCCACCGCGCCGAGAGCCGGCGC
rnacentral:lncRNA from 1 species